rnacentral:rRNA from 1 species
CCGGAGCUAACGCGUUAAGUCGACCGCCUGGGGAGUACGGCCGCAAGGUUAAAACUCAAAUGAAUUGACGGGGGCCCGCACAAGCGGUGGAGCAUGUGGUUUAAUUCGAUGCAACGCGAAGAACCUUACCUGGUCUUGACAUCCACGGAAGUUUUCAGAGAUGAGAAUGUGCCUUCGGGAACCGUGAGACAGGUGCUGCAUGGCUGUCGUCAGCUCGUGUUGUGAAAUGUUGGGUUAAGUCCCGCAA